rnacentral:rRNA from 1 species
UACAGAGGUCUCAAGCGUUGUUCGGAUUCAUUGGGCGUAAAGGGUGCGUAGGUGGCGUCGUAAGUCAGGUGUGAAAUCUCGGGGCUUAACUCCGAAACUGCAUUUGAUACUGCGGUGCUUGAGGACUGGAGAGGAGACUGGAAUUUACGGUGUAGCAGUGAAAUGCGUAGAGAUCGUAAGGAAGACCAGUGGCGAAGGCGGGUCUCUGGACAGUUCCUGACACUGAGGCACGAAGGCCAGGGGAGCAAACAGG